rnacentral:tRNA from 2 species
CCAGGCAGCAGUGCGUGGCUGGCGCCGUGGGGGCCGAAGCUGAUCAAGCCGGAAUUCUCCAGGUGACGCACCUGGUUCCAGUCCAGGGCCUGGG